GAUGGUACUGGAGAAGGACUGCG
rnacentral:piRNA from 1 species